UACGUAGGGUGCAAGCGUUGUCCGGAAUUAUUGGGCGUAAAGAGCUCGUAGGCGGUUUGUCGCGUCGGCUGUGAAAACCUGGGGCUCAACCCUGGGCCUGCAGUCGAUACGGGCAGACUAGAGUCCGGCAGGGGAGACUGGAAUUCCUGGUGUAGCGGUGAAAUGCGCAGAUAUCAGGAGGAACACCGGUGGCGAAGGCGGGUCUCUGGGCCGGAACUGACGCUGAGGAGCGAAAGCGUGGGGAGUGAACAGG
rnacentral:rRNA from 1 species